GACGAACGCUGGCGGCGGGCUUAACACAUGCAAGUCGAACGGAAAGGCCCUGCUUUUGUGUGGUGCUCGAGUGGCGAACGGGUGAGUAACACGUGAGUAACCUGCCCUUGACUUUGGGAUAACUUCAGGAAACUGGGGCUAAUACCAGAUAGGAGCUCCUGCUGCUUGGUGGGGGUUGGAAAGUUUCGGCGGUUGGGGAUGGACUCGCGGCUUAUCAGCAUGUUGGUGGGGUAGUGGCUUACCAAGGCUUUGACGGGUAGCCGGCCUGAGAGGGUGACCGGCAACAUUAGGAGUGAGAUACGGCCCAGACUCGUACGGGAGGCAGCAGUGGGGAAUAUUGCACAAUGGGCGGAAGCCUGAUGCAGCAACGCCGCGUGCGGGAUGACGGCCUUCGGGUUGUAAACCGCUUUCGCCUGUGACGAAGCGUGAGUGACGGUAAUGGGGAAAGAAGCACCGGCUAACUACGUG
rnacentral:rRNA from 1 species